rnacentral:rRNA from 1 species
UACGGAGGGUGCAAGCGUUAUCCGGAUUCACUGGGUUUAAAGGGUGCGUAGGUGGGCAGGUAAGUCAGUGGUGAAAUCUCCGGGCUUAACUCGGAAACUGCCAUUGAUACUAUCUGUCUUGAAUACCGUGGAGGUCAGCGGAAUAUGUCGUGUAGCGGUGAAAUGCUUAGAUAUGACAUAGAACACCAAUUGCGAAGGCAGCUGGCUACACGAAUAUUGACACUGAUGCACGAAAGCGUGGGGAUCAAACAGG